UGGUCUUCAUGGUUACCCUUACAAAAACACUGACUUUGAUUCUCAAUACAGUAAGUGCUUUUUGUUGGGGUAGUUUU
rnacentral:pre_miRNA from 1 species